UUAGAUUAAAAUUGUGCCAGCAUUCGCGGUUAAACAAUUUAAUUAAGUAAAUUUAAUAAGAAUUAGUUUUAUUAAUUAUUGAAAUUUAAUUUAAAUUAUUUAAGUGAAAUUUUUAAUUUAACUAAUAAUUCUAAUUAAAUUCUAGUAAUAUUUUAUUAUAAACUAGGAUUAGAUACCCUAUUAUUAACUUUUUAUUUAAUUUUCUAGAAUAAUAAUAAUUAUUUUUAUGAAAAUCAAAGAAUUUGGCGGUAAUUUAUAUUUAGGGGAACCUGUUCUAUAAUUGAUAAACCACGAUAGUUUUUACCUUAAAUUUAUUUGUAUAUCUCUAUAAUUAUAGAAUGUUUUAUAAAGAAAAUCUUCUUUUAUUAUAUUAUAAAUAAAUAUUAGGUCAAGAUGCAGUUUUUUUAAGGUAAGUGUGGGUUACAUUAAAACUUAAUUAUUUAAAUUAAAUUAAUAAUAGUUUUAUGAAAUAGGAUUUAAUAGUAAUUUUUAAUAAUUUUUAUGUUUGAAUAUUAAUUUAAAUUAUGUACAUAUUGCCCGUCACUCCCAUUUAAAUUGGGAUAAGUCGUAACAAAGUAA
rnacentral:rRNA from 1 species